rnacentral:rRNA from 1 species
GACGAACGCUGGCGGCGUGCUUAACACAUGCAAGUCGAACGGAAAGGCCCUGCUUUUGUGGGGUGCUCGAGUGGCGAACGGGUGAGUAACACGUGAGUAACCUGCCCUUGACUUUGGGAUAACUUCAGGAAACUGGGGCUAAUACCGGAUAGGAGCUCCUGCUGCAUGGUGGUGGUUGGAAAGUUUCGGCGGUUGGGGAUGGACUCGCGGCUUAUCAGCUUGUUGGUGGGGUAGUGGCUUACCAAGGCUUUGACGGGUAGCCGGCCUGAGAGGGUGACCGGCCACAUUGGGACUGAGAUACGGCCCAGAAUCCUACGGGAGGCAGCAGUGGGGAAUAUUGCACAAUGGGCGGAAGCCUGAUGCAGCAACGCCGCGUGCGGGAUGACGGCCUUCGGGUUGUAAACCGCUUUCGCAUGUGACGAAGCGUGAGUGACGGUAAUGGGUAAAGAAGCACCGGCUAACUACGUG